GACGAACGCUGGCGGCGUGCUUAACACAUGCAAGUCGAACGGAAAGGCCCUGCUUUUGUGGGGUGCUCGAGUGGCGAACGGGUGAGUAACACGUGAGUAACCUGCCCUUGACUUUGGGAUAACUUAAGGAAACUGGGGCUAAUACCGGAUAGGAGCUCCUGCUGCAUGGUGGGGGUUGGAAAGUUUCGGCGGUUGGGGAUGGACUGGCGGCUUAUUAGCUUGUUGGUGGGGUAGUGGCUUACCAAGGCUUUGAGGGGUAGCCGGCCGGAGAGGGUGACUAGCCGCCCUGGAAGGGAGACGCGGCACAGACGCAUAGGGGAGGGCGCAGUGGGGAAUAGUGGACAAGGGGUGGAAGCUUGUUCCAGACAUGCCGAGUGUGUGAAGAAGGCCUCCGGGUUGGAAAGCCCGGUUGUUGGGUAAGAAAAGCAGCAGGCUAAUACCCCGCUGUUCUGACGGUAACCAGAGAAAAAGCACCGGCUAACUUAGUG
rnacentral:rRNA from 1 species